rnacentral:lncRNA from 1 species
AACUUAAGCAAACCUGCAGACUGGUUAAACACACACAUUCUACCUGACCCCCGGGAAGGUUCCAGAACGAGGCAUUAUGCGUUUUGUUUUGUAUUGGUUUGUUUUUUCCACACUCAGAAAGCAGGUGCCAAUGCUGUGCUAUGAAGUCAGGGGAACUGGUUGAAAUUGAGGCUGG